rnacentral:lncRNA from 1 species
UGAAAGCAUUAAAUAUACAGAAAUAGGAAAUUUGGAAUAAGAGUUUAAAUAGUUCAACCAUUAUACUUGAUGGCAUCACAUUGUUAUCAAAUCAAACAAAAGAAACAAGAAUCUCUAAUGUGAAACCCUUGCGUAAAAUUCAAACUCAAAAAACACAGUGAUAAACAGCAACAUACGAUAGUAGAAAUGUGGAAAGAUUUGACAUUGACUUCGUGCUCAUUGGCCAUACAGAUUCUCUGGAAACCUAUGUAGCGACAUCCCUCAUUUCUAGUAUUAUAGAAAUCACUGUGAUAAAUGGCAACAUACGGUAGUCGCAAUGUGGAAAGAUUCGCCAUUCACUUCAUGCUCAUAGUCAUUGACCAUACAAAUCCUCUGGAAACCUAUGUAGUGACAUCCCUCAUUUCUGGUAUUGCGAAAGAGCUGAAAAAAAAAAGGAAACAAUAGGAUAGUAAUACGUAAACAAAAAACAUUAAUUUAUUUAUUUUGACAAAAUUACUAAGACACUAACAACUUGAAUUUCUCAUCGAUUUCAUCUCAUUUUAAAAGUAGAAAGAAGUAACCAAUCAAUAACAUCCACAUCUAUUAGAAAGACAAAACAAACUGAAAGACCCAAAUCAACUUCAUAACGCAAGAUUCAAAUGUCAGCAUUUUUAAAUGAAAACUACGUACUUUAUAGUACCUAAAUUAUCAUCAAUCCGAAUGCAGAUCAACAUAUUCAAUUCUCAAGAAUAUUAACCAUAGAGUGAUUCCAUUUAGCUGAUAAAAGUUUCUAGUGUAAAAUGAUUUUUUAAAACAAUUACCUGCAACUAAAUUGCCAUAAUGCUUGCAUUUCCAUUUCCUAGGGUGAAAUUUUAUGUUAAUUUUCUCCAAUAUUUUAAAAUAUUUUUUAAAUUUGAAGAGUAAAAUCAUUUCAUUUAUGCAUUUUUUAUGCUUGAGUGAGUGGUUACUGAGAAAGUAUCAGAGUAAAGAUGCUAAUGUCAAAAACCAAAAUUGCACUGAUCGUGAGUUCUGGAGCACAAUUAGAAUGCCACUUGGUCACAAUUUCCACCAUCUCUUUCACAUUAUUUUUGUGUGAGUUCUUUUCAUAUCAUUUUUUGUGAGUUUUUCAAAUUAAAUACACAUAUGAAUAAAUGUGAUUAAUUAGCUUGUUAUUUAUUAUCUUAUGAAAAUUCUCGUGCAUGUGAGGGUGGGCUAGCUGGAUGUCCCAAAAUGCUUCACUUGCUUAUAACAUCAUUUGAGCUGGCUUGUACACCUACUGAAAAUAGGAGAUAUGGCCUUGCACAGUAAUAAGACAAAGGCCUCGUUUGGGAUUGCUUUUGGAAGGCUUAAAAGUGAUUUUGAAAAUCUAAAAGUUAAUUUUAGUGUUUGGUAAAAAAAAAAUCAAAAUAACUUUUAUCAAAAUCAGUCCCUCUACAUCUGAUUUUGAAAAGUAAAAAAUGAGUAGCUUUUAAAUUUUAAUCACCCUUUAAUAUAAUUUCAUAAAUAUCCUCAAAAUUAUUACCUAAACCCAAAAUUAUCCUUAUUCAAAUUGGAAACAAAAUUAAUAUUUUCACAAAAUUUUAUUAUAAUUCAUCGAUAUAAAUUUAUUAAUAUCAAUUUGUUGGUCAAAUUAUUAUUAAAUUUGUUUCACUAAAUUGUAAAUUUAAUUAUCUAUUGUUUUACGAUAAAAAUAAAAAAUAAAAUCAAUAUAUUAUUAAAUUUAAUUUUUAGUAAAAAUUAUUAUAAUACACAAUCAAAAAUAUUAUAUGUACAUGUUUUUAUAUGUAUAAGGAAAUUUUAUCCUACAUUAUGUACAUUUUAUCUAUAAAUAGCCAACAAUAUUCUAUCUAUAAUUAGCCAACAUACACAGAUGAUCAUGGCAUAGGAACAAACCAUAUGAUUUGUAAAUCAACUCAUCACACAACAUGUUGAGCAUCUACUCUGUGCAUAAAAUUUAUAUUAAUUUUCUCCAAUAAUUCAACUUUUUUUUUUUUAAUUGUAAAUUUAAUUAUCUAUUGUUUUACGAUAAAAAUAAAAAAUAAAAUCAAUAUAUUAUUAAAUUUAAUUUUUAGUAAAAAUUAUUAUAAUACACAAUCAAAAAUAUUAUAUGUACAUGUUUUUAUAUGUAUAAGGAAAUUUUAUCCUACAUUAUGUACAUUUUAUCUAUAAAUAGCCAACAAUAUUCUAUCUAUAAUUAGCCAACAUACACAGAUGAUCAUGGCAUAGGAACAAACCAUAUGAUUUGUAAAUCAACUCAUCACACAACAUGUUGAGCAUCUACUCUGUGCAUAAAAUUUAUAUUAAUUUUCUCCAAUAAUUCAACUUUUUUUUUUUUCAUUUUGCUCCUUCUUUGUGUGUAAAAUCAGUUACGAGCAAUAGCUAAUGUCUGAAAAUCAAAAUUAUAUUGAUCUUGAAAAUGUUUUGAGCUGCAAAUUAGGCUUGUAGUUGAUAUAUGAAUAGUUAGCAGGCUUGUGGCACAAUUAAAAUGAUAUAAUUGGUCACAUUCUCUUUCAUGCCAUUUGCGUGUGUGUGAGGGUGGGUUACUUAACUUCUCUUUCAUGCCAUUUGCGUGUGUGAGGCUGGGAUCUUGGUUCUCUUAAGCUAGCAUGUUAACACACUCAUAUAAAAUGGAAAAAUGAACUUACGUUAUUAAGCUGAAAAGAAAUGUACUACAAUAUACGUAAAUUGAAAGGUUAACCUAUAAAUUCUAUGUGACAUUUCCUUUCUGUAAAAUAUAAUCAAUCUCUAAAUGAAACAUUUAUACAGUUAUACUCACCAUGUAUAUUCAAAAUUAUUGUAACAACGGAAAGUUUCUACGCAUCAUAACUAGACAAAGCACAUGAGUAACUCUGAACUCGAAUCUUGAGGGAAGUAGGAGGUUAAAAAAAUUGGUUAAGGCUUCGCCCACCUCUCUAUUUCUUAAACUUGAACGGGUUGCAAACUGAACCGAAAACUAGAAAAACCAAACUAAAAAAUCAAAAUGUCCACUCUAGAUAUUACCAUAUAACAUAGUAUUUUUUUUAGAAUGACUUAUAACAUAACAUUUGCAUGAAAUUAUUCUUUAUUUUGACAAAUGGGUAAUUUUGUUUCGAUUGUCUUAAGUUUUAAAUAUGUUUAUACCCUUUUCUACUAGUAGUUGAAUAUGAGAAACCGGCAAAACCUUAGAAAAAAAAAAAAAGAAAAAAAAAAAAGAGAAUUACAGUGGCAAGCAUUCACAAAGGCAUGAAAUGGAGUAUUGUUAAUUUUAUCCAAUAUUUCAAGAUCAUUUUCUAAGUUGGAACUUAGUUGUCAUUUGAUAUGUGCUGAACGUAGCAGACCAAGUCAAGAGUAUCUGUUAGUGGAUAAACUUUGAAUAAGUUGGUAGCUGAUAUUUAGUUGCUAUGUUUCCUUAUUUUCUGCUUGUUAGUUCCCAUUUCUUAGCCAUAAAUUGUGUAACUCAGUUGUACUGCAAGGUCUAUAAAUGGCCAAGGUUUUCAUUAAUAAAGGCAGCAAGUUAUACAAGCAAAUACUUUCUCCUCUAAACUACUUCUAUCUGUUCCUGGUUGUAUUAACUGGUAUCAGAGACGGUUCCGAUUAUGGACACCCGUGGCAAAACCAAUGCUGAAUUUCGCAGUGAAGUUAACGAGAUUCUAGCCCGUCACGAGUCUAGCUUCGAUCAAGUUAAUGCCGCUUUACAAACCUUAUUGACAGAGCUUCAAUCUCUGCGAGUUUCUCGUAAUUCAAACCAUCCCAACACUGAAAUCAAUCCAUUUGCUUCUGGAGAAUCAUCACACCAGCCAGCUCGUCCAGAUACCCAACGUCCCAGCUCUUCCCUUGACCACAACCACCAUAAUCUCAAGCUCUCCUUCCCCAAGUUUGGCAGAGACGACCCCACAGGCUGGAUUUACAAAGCGGAACAAUAUUUUGAGUUUAAGAACAUUGCUUCAGAUCAACAAGUGCAGCUUGCCUCUUUCCAUCUUGAAGGCAUUGCUUUACAAUGGCACCGAUGGCUAUCCAAAUUAAAAGGACCAUUAGAUUGGGAAGAAUUCACACGAGCCUUGCUUCAACGAUUUGGCCCAACAGAUUAUGAAGACCCUUCUGAAGCUCUAACUCGUUUAAAACAAACCUCAAUUGUAGAGGCUUAUCAGGAAGCUUUUGAACAAUUGUCUCACAGUGUCGACGGGAUACCUGACAAAUUUUUAAUGGGUUGUUUCAUUGCAGGCCUAAAAGAUGAAAUUUGUCAUUUUAUGUGUUCAUUUUUAAAUGUGCAAUAGUGAGUAUGAGAAAGUAACAAAGAGUAAAGAACCUAAUGUCUAAAAUCCAAAAUUACAUUUGAAACUGAAAGCGGCAGAUUUUUCUUGGUCAUUAGCAUAAUCCUAUGCAUCAAUGGUAUCCAUCUAUGUCAUGAAAAGGCACUCAUCCUUACCUUGUCAAACCAAUAUCUACAAUAGUUCAUGCUAUGUGAAUUUUCGUUGUUUGUGAACACAUCACUUUACUUUCACCAUGCACAUUUGAUUGCGUACUAAACACCGUAAUAAAAAUCAAAUAAAAAACAAGAAACCCAAUGUCAAAACUAAAGGUGGUUUUUGGUUUUAAGAAAGGGGAGCAGAGGAGAGGAAAUAAGGAGAGGAGUGGAGAGGUGAUGAGAGGAGAGGAGUAUGAAAAUUAAUUAAUAUUGUAACACCACAAAUUUCCAUAAUAUUAAAUUAUGGAAAUUGGGCUUUCAUUGAGAAUUAUGGGUGGCCUAUAACCCUUAUUAAGAAAGGGAUACUAAUUAUAAAUAGAGGUUAUUUAUGAGAUAAUUUUGGAAAAGGGUUAUUUUU